UGCGUAGGCGGAUAAAUAAGUCAGUGGUGAAAUCUUUCGGCUCAACCGGGAAACUGCCAUUGAUACUGUUAGUCUUGAGUUCGGUUGAGGUAGGCGGAAUGCGUAAUGUAGCGGUGAAAUGCUUAGAUAUUACACAGAACACCAAUUGCGUAGGCAGCUUACUAGACCGACACUGACGCUGAGGCACGAAAGCGUGGGGAGCGAACAGGAUUAGAUACCCUGGUAGUCC
rnacentral:rRNA from 1 species